rnacentral:rRNA from 1 species
ACGAACGCUGGCGGCGUGCUUAACACCUGCAAGUCGAACGGAAAGGCCCUGCUUUUGUGGGGUGCUCGAGUGGCGAACGGGUGAGUAACACGUGAGUAACCUGCCCUUGACUUUGGGAUAACUUCAGGAAACUGGGGCUAAUACCGGAUAGGAGCUCCUGCUGCAUGGUGGGGGUUGGAAAGUUUCGGCGGUUGGGGAUGGACUCGCGGCUUAUCAGCUUGUUGGUGGGGUAGUGGCUUACCAAGGCUUUGACGGGUAGCCGGCCUGAGAGGGUGACCGGCCACAUUGGGACUGAGAUACGGCCCAGACUCCUACGGGAGGCAGCAGUGGGGAAUAUUGCACAAUGGGCGGAAGCCUGAUGCAGCAACGCCGCGUGCGGGAUGACGGCCUUCGGGUUGUAAACCGCUUUCGCCUGUGACGAAGCGUGAGUGACGGUAAUGGGUAAAGAAGCACCGGCUGACUACGUG